UUUUUUUUUUUUUUUGUCUUUCUGUCUUUCCUGGAGCACAUGGAGGUUCCCAGUCUAGGGGUCUAAUCGGAGAUGCAGCCACCAGCCUACACCACAGCCACAGCAACGCCAGAUCCAAGCUGUGUCUGCGACCUACACCACAGCUCACGGCAACGCUGGAUCCUUCACCCACUGAGCGAGGUCAGGGAUCGAACCCACAACCUCAAUGGUUCCUAGUCAGAUUCGUUAACCCCUGAGCCAUGAUGGGAACUCUGUCUUUUCCAGUUUCUAAAGCUGCCUGCAAUCCUUAGCUCCUGGCCCCUUCCUCCAUCUUCAAAACUGGCAGUGUUUCGCUCUCACAUCUCUUUUUUUUUUUUUUUUUUUUUUUUUUUGUUGUUGUUUUGUUGUUGUUGUUGUUGCUAUUUCUUGGGCCGCUCCCGCGGCAUAUGGAGGUUCCCAGGCUAGGGGUUGAAUCGGAGCUGUAGCCACCGGCCUACGCCAGAGCCACAGCAACUCAGGAUCCGAGCCGUGUCUGCAACCUACACCACAGUUCACGGCAACGCCAGAUCGUUAACCCACUGAGCAAGGGCAGGGACCGAACCCGCAACCUCAUGGUUCCUAGUCGGAUUCGUUAACCACUGCGCCACGACGGGAACUCCUCACAUCUCUUUCUGAUCUCUAUUUUGGUCAUCACAUCUGCUUCUUUGACUAUCCUGCCUUCUGCAAGGACUUUUGUCAUUACACUCUGCUCACCUGAAAAAUUCAGGAUAAUCUCCUCCAUCUCAAGGUGAUUUGCUUAAUCACAACUACAAAGGACGUUUUUCUUUUGGCCACACCUGCAGCGUAUGGAACUUCCAGGGCCAUGGGCUGAACCUGCGCCACAGCAGCAACCCAAGCCAUAGCAGUGAUAAACCAGAUCCUUAACCUACUGAGCCACCAGGGAACUCCAAUCGCAUCUACAAAGGACCUCUUUUUUUAAAGUAUAGUUUUGAUUUACAAUGUUAUGUCAAUUUCUGUUGUACAGCAAAGUGACUGAGUCCUACCCAUAUGUAUACAUUCUUUUUUCUUUUUCUCUUUUUAGGGCUGCACCUGCGGUAUGUAGAGGUUCCUGGGCUAGGGGUCGAAUCAGCGCUAUAGGUGCCGGCCUACACCACAGCCACAGGCACCCCAGAUCCGAGCCAUGUCUGUGGCCUACACCACAGCUCACAGCAAUGCCAGAUACUUCACCCACUGAGUGAGGCCAGGGAUCCAAAAAAAGAAGUGAGGCACACAUUCUGUGUCAUCCGCCCACAAACAGGGUUGGGGCCUCACAAAUGGGGACAUAUAACCCCAAAUAGAAGACCCCUCGCUUCUUGGACAAACAUACACAGAGAGAUCAGAAAUUCAAAUCCUGUGACAGAAAAGCAAAAACAGAAGAGAGACCUCAUCUGAGAAAUAUACCC
rnacentral:lncRNA from 1 species